GUGAUAGACAGUGAGAAGGAUCGCCGGAGUGAUAGAUUACGGGGUCACUAUGGCAACACAGUCUGGGAGAAGAGAGAUUCACCCCCAGAAGACUGGAAUAAAGAACUUCCAGAAUGGUUUGAAAAGGAAAGAGAGAUGUCUUUUCUAGCACUGAAAAGCAAAGAACUGAAGGAAGGCAAGGUAUCCAGUAAUUCUACAACAUCAACCUGCACCAUAUUAUGAUUUUAGGUAUUAAAAACGUAAUUACUAGAUCCUCGUUUUAUUUUGUAAAUAAAUUGAUAUUUGCAUAUAUUUCCAUACCUGUACAAAAAUAGAAAUAAAAGGUAAAUGAAAA